AUUAACGUUGUGUUUUAUAAGAGCAGAGUAAAACAGAAAACAAAAUCUCAAAUAAUACUUAAAUUUAAAAUAAAAAAUAAUGUAAAAUAUUAUUUUAUUAUUAUAAAUAAAUAAUAUUGAGUAAAUUUACUGAAAUAAUUUGAAAAAAGAAAAUAUUUUUUUCUUUUAUUACGACAGCAACUGCAAGAAUCUGCGAUACAAAAACAAAAAAAAAAUUAAAUAAUCACAAGGAAGAAAAAUAAAAGUGAGUGUUUUUGUUUAUUUGUUUUUUGUGUUUUUUUUUAUUUUCCAUCAAAAAAAAAUCUAAUAGAAAAGUAAUUAAAAAAAAAAAUUAAAAUUUAAAGUAAAAAUAAAAUUUUAAUUUAAAAUUUUUUAAUUCUAAAAUGAAAAUUAAAAAAGUUAUAUAAAAUUUGAAAAUAAAAAAAAAGUUCCACCACUAAAAAAAAAAAAGUAGAAAAAAUCAAAUUUGUUUGUAUGUAGUGUGCAAAAAAAAAAAAAAUAAAAAAAAAUUAAGAGUAAAUUUUGCAAAAAUUAAAUUUUUAAAUAAAUGAAAAUUUAUAAAAAUUUCCUUAUAAUAUGGUAUUAAAAUUUUCUAAAAUAAAACCAAUAAAAGUGCAUGAAAAGUGAAUAAAAAAAAAAUUUUAAGAAAAUUAUACACAAACCACAUCAAGGAUUACAAAAGGAUAUUUGGUACAAUUUUAAUUUUUAAAUAUAAAUGCAAUACGAGGUAAGUUUUGCUAUUUUUAUAUCAGAGACAACAACCAGAAUUUUUGCAUGCUGCAAUAAAAUAAGUACUAGAAAUUCUAAUUUUGAGUAAGAUUUUUUAAAUUAAUAUGUAAUAUUUAUUAUACAAAAGUGUCGUGCUAAUAAAGAUAAUUAAAAUGAAAUCGUGACCAGCAAUAUUAUGUAUUUAAACUAUUACACAUGUUUGUA